rnacentral:rRNA from 1 species
AGUGAACGCUGGCGGUAGGCCUAACACAUGCAAGUCGAACGGCAGCACAGGAGAGCUUGCUCUCUAGGUGGCGAGUGGCGGACGGGUGAGGAAUACAUCGGAAUCUGCCCAGUCGUGGGGGAUAACGUAGGGAAACUUACGUUAAUACCGCAUACGACCUUCGGGUGAAAGAGGGGGAUCGCAAGACCUCUCGCGAUUGGAUGAGCCGAUGUCGGAUUAGCUAGUUAGCGGGGUAAUGGCCCACCAAGGCGACGAUCCGUAGCUGGUCUGAGAGGAUGACCAGCCACACUGGAACUGAGACACGGUCCAGACUCCUACGGGAGGCAGCAGUGGGGAAUAUUGGACAAUGGGCGCAAGCCUGAUCCAGCCAUACCGCGUGGGUGAAGAAGGCCUUCGGGUUGUAAAGCCCUUUUGUUGGGAAAGAAAUCUUUCAGGCUAAUACCCUGGGAGGAUGACGGUACCCAAAGAAUAAGCACCGGCUAACUUCGUG